rnacentral:rRNA from 1 species
GCUUAGAGUUUGAUCCUGGCUCAGGAUGAACGCUGGCGGCGUGCCUAACACAUGCAAGUCGAACGGACUCUUCGGAGUCAGUGGCGGACGGGUGAGUAACGCGUGAGAACCUGCCUCUAGGAGGGGGAUAACAGCGGGAAACGGCUGCUAAUACCCCAUGAGCCGUAAGGUAAAAAGGAAUCCGCCUAGAGAGGGGCUCGCGUCCGAUUAGCUAGUUGGGGAGGUAAAAGCUCACCAAGGCGACGAUCGGUAGCUGGUCUGAGAGGAUGAGCAGCCACACUGGGACUGAGACACGGCCCAGACUCCUACGGGAGGCAGCAGUGGGGAAUUUUCCGCAAUGGGCGAAAGCCUGACGGAGCAACGCCGCGUGAGGGAAGAAGGCCUUUGGGUUGUAAACCUCUUUUCUCAGGGAAGAAGUUCUGACGGUACCUGAGGAAUCAGCCUCGGCUAACUCCGUGCCAGCAGCCGCGGUAAUACGGAGGAGGCAAGCGUUAUCCGGAAUUAUUGGGCGUAAAGCGUUCGUAGGCGGCCGUUCAAGUCUGCUGUCAAAGUCCGAGGCUCAACUUCGGGAAGGCAGUGGAAACUGAACAGCUAGAGGUCGGAAGGGGCAGAGGGAAUUCCCAGUGUAGCGGUGAAAUGCGUAGAUAUUGGGAAGAACACCGGUGGCGAAAGCGCUCUGCUGGGCCGAACCUGACGCUGAGGGACGAAAGCUAGGGGAGCGAAUGGGAUUAGAUACCCCAGUAGUCCUAGCCGUAAACGAUGGAGACUAGGUGUUGCCUGUAUCGACCCGGGCAGUGCCGAAGCCAACGCGUUAAGUCUCCCGCCUGGGGAGUACGCACGCAAGUGUGAAACUCAAAGGAAUUGACGGGGGCCCGCACAAGCGGUGGAGUAUGUGGUUUAAUUCGA